rnacentral:lncRNA from 1 species
UCUAGCCACACCUCAUCCCUCCCUCUCUAGACCACCCAGGUGAUCCUGCAGCACCCUCAGAUCCUACAGCUUGGCCAAUCUUGGCUCCAGAUGGGAGGGAGAAGAUCAGAUUUCAUGGGUGUUUCUAUAUAACCCCAAGCCACCAGAGCUGAGCUCACUCCUGAGGUUGGUGCCAGGCCCUGCUGAGGAUGAGGCUGUCCAGAGCCUUCGCUUGGCCGCUGCUGUGCAGUAUAGCCACAACUGUUAAAGCUCCAUUUGCCACAGCACCCAGUGACUGUGGGGGCCACUACACAGAUGAAUAUGGCAGGAUCUUCAACUACGCUGGGCCGAAAACUGAAUGCGUCUGGAUCAUCGAGUUGAACCCCGGGGAGAUAGUCACGGUGGCCAUUCCAGACCUCAGGUAUUUUUCUUAAAUGAAUGAAUGAAUGAAGUGAUAAAGCCACAGAAGGCAUUUCCAAUGCAGCCUAAGUUACUGCAUUGAUAUCCCAGGGCAGUGUUCACAGAUUUCAGCAUGGAAACCACAUUUCCAUCAAUUCCAGACCAAGCCAAACACAGCCCACAAUGGUGGAUGAGACAGAUGGUGGAACUGUGUGACCCAGAGGUCCUGUCCCCUCCAGACAGCCUAUGGGCUCAGAAUCCCACUACGUUAUGCAGGAGUUCUAUGGGAUCAAGGACACUUCGAGACACCUGCCUCAAAUACGGGGCUUAAACUGUCUACCCAACCUGAGGCCCAGGGAUUCAAAAAGGAUGUGUGGCCAUGAAGACCCAGAUGGGGAAACAAGGAGAGAAGGAGCUUGAGGAGGGACCUGGAAUGAAAGAGUCGUGCACUUCCUGUGUCAUAAUUUCCCCAAGGCCAGCGGGAUGGGCGGCUGUGGACAUUUUCCCAUAUUGUCCCUUUGUCCUUUUCAAAGUUGAUUUUGAAUCUGAUUGUCCUUGGCACCAAGGAGGGACACAGGCUGGGCCAAGAGCAAAACUAGUAUAAAGUCAGCCCUGUGUGUGUCCUGGUGGGGUGUCCCCU